rnacentral:lncRNA from 1 species
UGGAUGGCACCUGGCAAAACGCCAGAGGGAGUGGUUUGUGAAGUAAUGCCAGCGAGCCAUUAAGUGUGGAGAUUCCUUAUUGGUUGACUGCUGUAUCUGCUGUGGCCGGACUGCAGCAGAUGGUGGCCCGUUACGGGGAGCCCCGGGACACUCGGGGGUAAGUGACGAAAAAAAGCUGCCCGUCCAUAGAUAGGACGGGAGCAAAUCUGCUCGUCCCUAGGCAGAUAGGGCGAGAGGAAAAAUGGCCAUUUCGAGAAAAUGGAGAAGAUUGAUACAGUAUGUUUGUGUCUUGUUUUGUCUAAGUGUAUUGUAUUGUCUUUGUGAUGAGAAUAUGGAAGGGGUGAGAAGUAAAUGGCGCAGCAAGGUUUUCCCAAGCGGCGGCAGCGGGCUCUUCCCCGCCCCCCGUCCGGGGAGCGGGACGCCACUGCGAGAGCCCAAAUCCAAACCUGACCCGGAGGCACAGUCUCGCAGGCUCUUGCUCCCAGUGCCCACUGGCAGUUUGAGUCCAGAACACUUCCCGGACUCUCCCCAGGGCCAUCUGGGGCUGCCCGGGACGCUACAGCUGGCAGAAGACGCUACCGGCAUCCCUGAGAUUUGGUCAUUUCCAAUGUCAAUAACUAUUAAAUUGUUCAGAAGGUUGUUUUCUUAGUGGAAUGCUACAGGAUUUUCUUUAGCCAUCCGGAGUUCCUGCCUUCGUCCCAGUGCCAGUGAAGACAAAGGUGAAAGAAUUUCCAGUGUUGCUGAGAACCUGACGAGACUUCGGAUCAAGCUAGCUGCCUGCAGAACUUACCUGGACUGUGAUUUAAGCUAGCUGCCUGCAGAACUUACCUGGACUGUGAUUUAAGCUAGCUGCCUGCAGAACUUACCUGGACUGUGAGUUAAUCUAUUGAGACACCGUUUUAUCUGGAUCAAGCUAGCUGCCUGCAGAUUUAAGCUAGCUGCCUGCAGAACUUAUUUACCUGGACUGUGAGUUAAUCUAUUGAGACACUUCUUUUCCUGGACUGAGACAACAAACUGUAAUCUACAACAAAUUGUAACUCGGUAUCUUUGCUAACGGUGUCAUUGCUGGUAUAAUUUUUCCAAGGGCUUCUUACAUGGAGCCAUCAAUUGGCUUGGUAUCGUGACAUUUUGUAUCCUUCCCUUCUGCUUGUAGCAGAUUAUUUAUGGUGUUUGUGUAAAAACCACUAUGGUCGUUAUUUAAAUUAAACAAAAGGGGGAAAUGUUAGAGUCUGUAAACACGUCUGGAUGGCGCCUGGCAUUUGCCAGAGGGAGUGGUUAAUGUUAAGGUCUGUAAACAAGUCUGGAUGGCGCCUGGCAAAAUGCCAGAGGGAGUGGUUUGUGAACUAAUGCCAGCGAGCUAUUAAGUAUGGAGAUUCCUUAUUGGUUGAGUUUAUGUUAAUUAAGAUAAGCUGUGUGGAAUGUAUAAAUACCUCUGUUGUCCUACAAUAAACGGCUCCCACUCCUGCUGUAUCAACGUACACCCCCCCCCCCGCUUAUUUUGCUGCAGCUGGACUGCGGCAUAUACUGAGAUGAUCAUGUGAUCUUUGUCUUUAGUUCUCUUUAUGUCAAGUAUUGCAUUUAUUGAUUUGCAUAUGUUGAACCAAACUUGUAUCCCUUGAUGAAAUUCUUGUGUAUAAUUUCUCAAUGCCCACUUAUCAUUAUCAUUAUUUUUUUAAAUUGUGUAACUUCUUUUCUGGUAUUACUGUCAAUCAUCCAAAUCAUCUAUAGAUUUAUAGUGUAUAUGAUUAGCUUUUAAUUUCUAAGAAUUUAUUUGGGUUUUGUAUAUAAUUGUACAUGAAUCCAUUACUUGUUCAAAAAUAUUAUAUAUUUCACAUGUUAUAGCAUUUAUUGAGAAUAAUGGUAGUGGAUCAAGUAAAGAACUUGGGACCAGUUGGAAUCUCUCCACAGUUUACUCAGAACAGCAGUUCUCAAAGUGUGAUCUGAGGAGUCCUUGGAGCUAUUCAGAUUUUUGCACAGGAGUCAUAUGAUCAAAAAGUAUUUUUAUAAUGUCACUAAAACAUUACUUACACUGAAGUAAAACUUGGCAAAAUGGAAGUCAAGGUACAAAACUACAAUAGUAGUCAUUGUAUUUCCGAGCAUGUUUUAUCUGCACAAGAGAAAAUUCAAGUUUACUUAAACAUGUUCUAUUUGAAGCAAUAAAAAUUAUUAACUUUAUUAAAUCUCCAUUUGAA